GACAGAGGGUGCAAACGUUUGUUCGGAAUUACUGGGCGUAAAGCGCGUGUAGGCUGCUCAGAAAGUCGGAUGUGAAAGCCCUGGGCUUAACCUAGGAAGUGCAUUCGAAACUUCUGAGCUUGAGUUCUGGAGAGGAAGGCGGAAUUCUCGGUGUAGAGGUGAAAUUCGUAGAUAUCGAGAGGAACACCAGCGGCGAAGGCGGCACUCUGGGCUGGAACUGACGCUGAGGAGCGAAAGCGUGGGUAGCAAACGGG
rnacentral:rRNA from 1 species